CUGAGGAGUGGACGGUUUAUUUACCCAAUAUAAUAAAAAACCGGAGUUUGUGCAGCAGCAGUUCCAGUUCUGAAACAAAUGUGACCUUCACAGACGCAGUACUUACUGCAGAUGAUAUAUGGUGUGAGCAUCCACGGCAGAUGGGAUAUGUGGAAUUCCUUGAAAGCAUGAAUAAGUUAGACUUCUUCAAGCACCUGCGUGUUACCAGAACAUCUUUUGACAAGAUUUUGUACGAAAUAAAUGUCCAGUUAGGAAAGAAACCUCGAGGACGAGAUCUUCCACAUGGAACCAAAUUAGCUCUCUGGCUCACUCACUCAACGUCAUUAACGUUGCUAGUGGCAUCGCAGUUAAUAGUAAUACCAUCAUUAGUAUAGCGGUGAGUCCGGAGAAAUGCAAUGAGUUUGAAAUCGAAAUCUAUAAUUUGAAAUCCAUAUAUUGCAGUCCGGUACGACUUUGGAACGACACAGGAACCACGGAGGGGAAGGUGAAUCUAUUUACUAUUAGGUUGGGCGUUGUUCUGCGCGAAUCACUCGUGUAAUUAAAGGUAGCUUGUGGACGAGGGAAAAGAUUAGGGCCUAAGUGGUGGGACAGGCGGUUGUGAAAGUAUUAGUUAAAAAGGGUGUUUGCUAAAAUCGUUUGUAAAGUUUGUUUUUGUUUCUAUGCAGUACUGUGGUAUCCUGUUCAGUCUUAUGCGAGAAGUGUGCGUGCUUGUAGAUCUAUAAUGUUAGUGUGGCUUGUCGGAAAUUUGUUGUGUGAAUU